rnacentral:rRNA from 1 species
UGAACAGCAGUUGGACAUGGGUGAGCCGAUCCUAAGAGAUAGGGUAGUUCCGUAUGAAAGUGCGCGAUUCUUCGCGCCGCCUAUCGAAAGGGAAGCCGGUUAAAAUUCCGGCGCCAGGAUGUGGAUGAUAGACGGCAACGUAAACGAACCAGGAGACGUCGGCGAGGGCCCUGGAAAGAGUUAUCUUUUCUUUCUUACAGUCUGUCACCCUGAAAUCGAUUUGUUCG